GUCAUGUCUUUCUACUUGCCCUCUGUAUUGUCCUUGUAAUACCAGGCCUGACACCUCAUUCUUUGCAAGUGUCUCUGUGCCUUAUAUCUCAUAUUCCUACAUUACUAUAUUUUUCUUUCAUUAGCCAAGAUUUUGCUAUUUCAUCAUUUAAAAGUAAUCUGUUUUUCUAAAACCUAAAGAGGGACUGUAUUCUUUGUGCAAGGAUUCCUCUGCUUUGCAUACCCUGUACAUGACCUUGUUCUGUUUACAGUUGAUGGGAAUAUCCUCAGAAGCUCUCCCACAGCCAAUGGGACCCAGGCAGGAGGUGGACCUUGAUAUCAUCAGAUCAUUCAGUAAGCUGAAAAGUCCACUUCACUACUUCCACUCUACUGAGAAAUGCUGAGCUGAGAGCUGGAAGGAUUUUUUGGUUGUUUUCCUGACAUUAGGCUGGUGAGUAUUUACAUAUCAUCAGAAGGAUAUAUUUUAUUUUAUUUAUUUUAAUUUAAUUUAAUUUAAUUUUAUUUUAUUUUAUUUUAUUUUAUUUUAUUUUAAAUUUUGGAAGGAGUACGCCAUAAGGUAGUUGGUUAUUAAAGGUUUUACAAAUAUAAGCUAACAACCUAAAUUAUACUUGCAUAUGGCUAUAACAAUCCUAUUUUCUAUCUUCCCUGAGAUAUUUAUUUCUUUAUACUUUCUACUGCAAGAAUAACUACUUGAAGCAAAUGUGCUAUGUAGUAUUGCACUAGGGCGCUAUGGAUUUUUAAAAAGUACCUCUUUUGCGAUAUGUUAAAAAAAAUCUUGGCUGAUUACAACUUGUUAGCUUUGCUGCUGCUCCAGUUCCGUUUACAAAAAAAAAAAAAAAAAAAAAAAGGCUUUAUAUUCCCUCCCACUGAUUUUCAACUAAAACAGAACUUAGUUGCCUGCUGAUCCUGCUGGCUUUUUUAAAUGAAAAACUUAUUCUUCUUAAACUACUGGAAAAUUAUGUUUAAAAAUCAGCAUAAUUUCAUUGCCUUUUAUUUCUGUCUGUCAUGAAACUGCUAGGCUGCUUUCUGGAGCAACUCAAUAUAAUUUAAUGCAGAAAUUUAGUUAUAGUUAUAAAUAUACUGACUGAAAAAUAUUUUAAUGAUCCAGAGAUAUUAGUCACUCUAUAGUAAAAUUGUCUGUGUGCAUACACUGGAAAAAAAAAAUCAGUGUCUAUAGAUGCCUCUGUCUUCAUAACAGAUAAAUGCAUAGGACUGAGACUUGGCAGGUUCGCUAAGGAGUGACUUUUCCUAGCCAGUGUACUGGAUGUGGUUCAGCCAUUUAAAUUGCAGAGGACAUAGAAAUUAAUUCAGCGUGAUGACAUUGCAUUACUUUUGUUUUUAAGAAUUGUAAGAACCAUUCUUAGAGUCAGGAGAACAUAGAAUAAGAAACUUUACUUGAAGACUGGUAGAGAAUGACAAUAUUUCUACUUAUUGAACAACAUGGUGGGAUUGUGCAAUUUCCCAUUUCUCUUCAAUAUGGAUGAAGUACAUAGGAAGAACCAACAACGCUGAUGAGUUCAAGUCUUGCAGGGGUCAAAAUUCACGCUUUUCUGAAUAUUUAUGAAAGCUGUGUGUGUUUCAUAAAAUUUUGGUGAAUUUCCAACCAUUCUAUUUUGAUGUAUUCCUUUUGGACUGACUAUGCACCUGUCCUUUUCAGUUUUAAUACAUGUACCAAAUAAUUGGCCAUAAAAUGGGACACAAGAGUAUGAGAGGCACUUCUUAUACAGCUUGGUAGACCUCAACGUACCUUUUAGUAAGUAAUUCAGUGUGCAAGACAGGGCUUGGGCUGCAAGACCAGAAGAACCAUUAAGAUCUUACAAAAGACAGAAUAUUUCACCAAAGGAUUAUUCUGCAUCAAAACCUGCAUCUUUUUUUUUUUAUUUUUUUUUUUUUAUUUUUAUUUUUUAACAGAGGAGGAGGCAGGGGAAAUGCUGACUACACUAAUGGGAGAAUUUCAUGUGAUGGAAAAUCAGCUCCAUCUCCCAUUUUCCAAUGGUUAGUUACAUUCACUGUUCAAAUCAUGUGCCUGACUGUGGCUGAAAAGAUCAUACAUACUUGGAGAGCACAGUCUGUAUAGUUUAAAUAUAGUCAGCCAACUGACUGUCAACUGAUCCUUAAUGGAAAGAUCAAAGAAAAUUAGUAUUCUUAACUGGUAAUCUGCAUUACAGAUUACCAGUUCUAUGAGAAACCUCUUUUGGCCCCUAUGCUUUCCCUCCCCCUCUGUACUAUUAUUAUAGGGAAGGUAUCACACAGUUCUUGUUUGGCACUGUUUACUCAGUGCCCGAAUAAAAAUUAGUUGGGGAAGAAAAUGGUGUAUAUC
rnacentral:lncRNA from 1 species